CUGCAUUAUCGAGAGUGCUUGCCUCCAGCCAGAGACCAAAGACUGGGAAUGGUUGACUCAGCGUGAAAACAUCACUUGUCAUUCCCUUCCUCUCCUAGUUCAUUUGCCAGCACCAGUCGGAGGACUCCACCCACCUGCAAGGCUGUGACCUGCAUUUACCACGUGCUUGGCAGGGUGGGAUCAGGAUAUGCAGGUAAAAGCCAUCCUUCUCCAGAAAGCUCCAAAAGUGAGAGUCACCAUCUCUCAUGGAAAUUACCAGG
rnacentral:lncRNA from 1 species